rnacentral:ncRNA from 1 species
UUACAGGCAAAGCUAGAGAAAUCUAGUGACGCAAAGCUAAAGGGGCUAAAGUACAAAUUACAAUGCCAGCCAGUUGCCG